ACUGUGCCUAGAGGUGGCAUAGGUAUGGCUCCCAUGUCACCUGUAUAUCAGUAGCUGGCAAAGAGGAGAGAAGCUAUGCCUAUACUUAGUGUUCUGACUUUUUGAGUAUCUGAAUUAUUAGUAGCCUAACACU